GAGUUAGAAAAACGGGUUCAUUUCUCCUAUGUUUAUGUUUACACGUUUUGUUCAGACUGCUUUACACCCCAAUCCAGUGGGUGGCGGUAAUGCCCCCAUUAGACCCCUUUCACUGACGUCACCCGAAACCGGAAGUAAACAAACCCUGCGCCAUAUUGGAAGACCAACAAACUCGUGAUUAGGGGGAAAUAACGGCAGCGUGCGGUAUGUGAACCCACGAGGCACUUGGUUCAUCAAAAACCUACAAUGGUAAACUUUUGUGCUGUGUUAGGGUGUUCUAACAAAGCUGAUGGGAAAGGUGAAAAGAAGUCUUUCUACAGAAUACCAGCUGUGAUUGAGACACAAGCAAACCAAGGAGCUUUCUGCCAGGAGACAGAGAGAGGAUUUAGCUGCUUUAUGCAGAGCGGAUCUGAAUACUUCAAGUCUAUUUUGUUACUGGUGUCUGCGCCGCAGGAGGAAUAGGCCACAAUUAUAAAUUAUAAAUAAAUCAUAAAAUGUUUCUAAGAA